GACGAACGCUGGCGGCGUGCUUAACACAUGCAAGUCGAACGGAAAGGCCCUGCUUUUGUGGGGUGCUCGAGUGGCGAACGGGAGAGUAACACGUGAGUAACCUGCCCUUGACUUGGGAUAACUUCAGGAAACUGGGGCUAAUACCGGAUAGGAGCUCCUGCUGCAUGGUGGGGGUUGGAAAGUUUCGGCGGUUGGGGAUGGACUCGCGGCUUAUCAGCUUGUUGGUGGGGUAGUGGCUUACCAAGGCUUUGACGGGUAGCCGGCCUGAGAGGGUGACCGGCCACAUUGGGACUGAGAUACGGCCCAGACUCCUACGGGAGGCAGCAGUGGGGAAUAUUGCACAAUGGGCGGAAGCCUGAUGCAGCAACGCCGCGUGCGGGAUGACGGCCUUCGGGUUGUAAACCGCUUUCGCCUGUGACGAAGCGUGAGUGACGGUAAUGGGUAAAGAAGCACCGGCUAACUACGUGCCAGCAGCCGCGGUGAUACGUAGGGUGCGAGCGUUGUCCGGAUUUAUUGGGCGUAAAGGGCUCGUAGGUGGUUGAUCGCGUCGGAAGUGUAAUCUUGGGGCUUAACCCUGAGCGUGCUUUCGAUACGGGUUGACUUGAGGAAGGUAGGGGAGAAUGGAAUUCCUGGUGGAGCGGUGGAAUGCGCAGAUAUCAGGAGGAACACCAGUGGCGAAGGCGGUUCUCUGGGCCUUUCCUGACGCUGAGGAGCGAAAGCGUGGGGAGCGAACAGGCUUAGAUACCCUGGUAGUCCACGCUGUAAACGGUGGGUACUAGGUGUGGGGUCCAUUCCACGGGUUCCGUGCCGUAGCUAACGCUUUAAGUACCCCGCCUGGGGAGUACGGCCGCAGGGCUAAAACUCAAAGGAAUUGACGGGGCCCCGCACAAGCGGCGGAGCAUGCGGAUUAAUUCGAUGCAACGCGUAGAACCUUACCUGGGUUUGACAUGGAUCGGGAGUGCUCAGAGAUGGGUGUGCCUCUUUUGGGGUCGGUUCACAGGUGGUGCAUGCCUGUCGUCAGCUCGUGUCGUGAGAUGUUGGGUUAAGUCCCGCAACGAGCGCAACCCUUGUUCACUGUUGCCAGCACGUUAUGGUGGGGACUCAGUGGAGACCGCCGGGGUCAACUCGGAGGAAGGUGGGGAUGACGUCAAGUCCUCAUGCCCCUUAUGUCCAGGGCUUCACGCAUGCUACAAUGGCUGGUACAGAGAGUGGCGAGCCUGUGAGGGUGAGCGAAUCUCGGAAAGCCGGUCUCAGUUCGGAUUGGGGUCUGCAACUCGACCUCAUGAAGUCGGAGUCGCUAGUAAUCGCAGAUCAGCAACGCUGCGGUGAAUACGUUCCCGGGGCU
rnacentral:rRNA from 1 species